rnacentral:rRNA from 1 species
UAGGGAAUCUUCGGCAAUGGACGCAAGCCUGAUGGAGCAACACCGCGUGAGUGAAGAAGGGUUUCGGCUCGUAAAGCUCUGUUGUUAAAGAAGAACACGUAUGAGAGUAACUGUUCAUACGUUGACGGUAUUUAACCAGAAAGUCACGGCUAACUACGCGCCAG